rnacentral:rRNA from 1 species
AUGCCGUCGUCUCCAGCCCAGCGUUGCAUGCCGUCGUUGUCCAGGGGGUGGCAUGCCGUCGUCUCCAGCCCAGCGUUGCAUGCCGUCGUUGUCCAGGGGGUGGCAUGCCGUCGUCUCCAGCCCAGCGUUGCAUGCCGUCGUUGUCCAGGGGGUGGCAUGCCGUCGUCUCCAGCCCAGCGUUGCAUGCCGUCGUUGUCCAGGGGGUGGCAUGCCGUCGUCUCCAGCCCAGCGUUCCUCGCCGCGCACAAGUCCCGGGUCGAGCCGCACCUCCUCCUUGCCACCAGCUCCUCGGGCAAGGAGGCCAGCAACGAGGGCCGCGACUUGCGGCUGUUUGACGAGGAAGGCAAUGUCGUGAGAGUGAUCAAGAGUGUUGGUGCCCUUUGGACGGUUUGCCAUGGCCUUGACGGCCCGGUCUGCGUCACCCGCGAUUUUCGUGGUCGUCGCGAAGUUUUUGACGUCAAUGUGAUCAAUCCGGCUCCCGGGAGUGUUCUAAUAAUGGCGACCGUUGAGUUGGAGAACCAAGAGUUCUUCCUCUUCAACAUCGGUUGUGCCGCCCCGUCUGGCGUGUACAAGGUUGUCCACUUCAAUUACAAGUCUUGGAAGGUUCUCACUCUGGGAGAUGACGCCAAGUGGAGGCAGAUGAGGUCUCCAGCAACCAAACUGUCUAACUACUAUUAUCGGAAUUUCAUGGUCACGGUCAAUGGUGUCAUGCACUUUCUUUACACGUCACGUAGGUUGCCGCUGUAUGAGAAUCUUAUAUUAAGAAAAAGGUAG